UAGCUGGUCCCUCCGAAGUUCCCUCAGGAUAGCUAGAGUCUUUAUCAGUUUUGUCAGGUAAAGCGAAUGAUUAGAGGUUCGGGGGAAGUAACUUCCUCGACCUAUUCUCAAACUUUAAAUGGGCAAGAUCCAGUAGUUACUUAAUUGAACUAUUGGGGUCAAUGAGACGACUCUAAGUGGGCCAUUUUUGGUAAGCAGAACUGGCGAUGAGGGAUGAACCUAACGCUCGGUUAAGGUGCUAAACUGCUCGCUCAUCAGAUACCACAAAGGGUGUUGGUCGAUCUUAACAGCAGGACGGUGGUCAUGGAAGUCGAAAUCCGCUAAGGAGUGUGUAACAACUCACCUGCCGAAUCGACUAGCCCCGAAAAUGGAUAGCGCUGAAGCGAGUGACCGAUACCGGGCCAUUGUUGCAAGAUAAUUGGCAACAAUGAGUAGGAGGGCGUGGGGGUUGUGAAGAAGCUUGGACGUGAGUCUGAGUGAAACAGCUUCCAGUGCAGAUCUUGGUGGUAGUAGCAAGUAUUCAAUAAGAGAACAUUGAAGGCCGAAGUGGGGAAGGGUUCCAUGUGAACAGCACUUGGACAUGGGUUAGCCGAUCCUGAGAGACAGGUUAAAUUCCAUCGGAUUGGAGCUUUGGCUCUGUUUCUCGAAAGGGAAGCUGGUUAGUAUUCCAGCGCCGAGACGUGGAUAAUAUGUGGCAACACAAGUGAACUCGGACACGCCAUAGGGGACCCCAGGAAGCGUUGUCUUUUCUUUUUAACAGUUCGACUUACCCUGGAAUCAGAUCAUCUGGAGAUAGGGUUUUCGAACUGGAAUAGCACCUUGUCUAACAGGGUGUCUGGAGUGUUCUCGCUGGCCCUUGAAAAUCCGAGGGAUAGAUUUAUUCGCACUCUCGAUCGUACCCAUAACCGCAUCAGGUCUCCAAGGUUAGAAGCCUCUGGUCCGUAGGACAAAGUAGAUAAGGGAAGUCGGCAAAAUAGGUCCGUAACUUCGGGAAAAGGACUGGCUCUGAGGUUUGGUAUGUGGAACCUGGAUUAAUCGUUGGAGUCG
rnacentral:ncRNA from 1 species